AAUAAUGCAAGCAAGCACUUUUCCCACACAUACAUAUCCACCCUCUAUUCAUUUCACGGCGACGUCCAUCUCCGCCGCUCCCGUCCGAUCCAUCUUUGCCACCCGCAACCAGGCGGCCGUGUUCUCAACAGGCGGCCGUCGCCGUCAACGUCGCCAUGGCGCUCGUGGUGUGGUCGGCUUCUCCGACGGCCCACCAACCGGAUCGAAUUGAUAACCCCGUACAUCCAUCACAGCUCUGCUCGCUCUCGCCCUACUGCAUGCAUGGCCGACUGGCUUCUUGUCGGCGGCGCCUAGACAUGGCAUGUGCAACACGUAGGACUUCAUGAAUAGGAGACGUCCAAGAACUCAGACCAACAUGAUUUCUUCUUCUCCCGGGCCAUACCUGAACCUGAUGAUAAGCACCGACACCGGCCGGGUGCAAGUUAAUUCCACCACCUGUACAAUAUUUUUCUCCGGACACGACGUGUAGCUCCAGAUACUAGCAUCUCGAACCAUCUAGAACAGAAACAAAAAUGCUGUGUAGAAAGAUCAGAGGUACAUCUAUCAUCUAGACUAGUUGCAGAACAAAAACAGAUACAUCCAAAGACUUUCACAAAAAAUCAGAGGUCACGGCAGAUCAUUGCCUGCAGAUGCGUACGCAGCUAUCACAUAACCACAAAUGCUAGAAUAAUAAGUUCCCCGGAAGUCCACACCAUGGAAUAAGAAUAAUAUCACAAUCUGUCAGCCUGGCGAGACCUAGGGGGGAGAACAAUAACGGAAAAUCUAUCCUUCUUGUUGGGGGAAUCAAAACACAAAGUCUCAUGCUAUUUUUUUCUAGAACAAGCUGGCAAUAUUGAACCAUAGAGUGACACCUAUGCAUGUAUGACGACAUCGAGAUUUGAAAAUUCAAAUUCGAUAUGUCAGCACGCCAAGAAAACAAAUAGUACUAUCCACAGCUCGACCUGUCAUUUUGAGCUAUACUAUCCCCAGCUAAACUUUAUAUGCCAUGUCAUGCCCCAUGCCAUGGCCCAUGUGGUCAAGUGGACUAUCGAUCAUAUCAGAUGCUACAUGACAUCCAGCGCACUGAUUCGCGAUCGGACGGCGCGUGAGUCCCUUUCCCCCUUGUUGAGGAAGGGAAGUUGGCACCACAAUCGGUGGCGCGAAAGCUACGUUCAAGAGGCCGACAAGCAACUCACGCGCUCAUGGCUGACUCAGCGGGAGCUCACACAUAAUCUUCUUCCCCUCGAUGGAGAUAAGAUCGAGAGCUGGCGCGUACGAGUGGCACCACAGACUCCUCCGUCCUCAGCCCCUAUAAAUCCAGCGGCGUCUCAGCUCACCUGACGAGGCCGGACAACACUGCAACGAAGAAGUACUCUGCUUUUGGCUCAAGAACUCAAGAACAGAGAUCGGAGAAUCGAUGGCUAUGUUCGCGACGUCGACGGCGGCAGUGUUGGGAUCGGCUCGCCCAGGGCGGGCGGCCGAGCCUCGAUGGUGCGUGGUGGCGCGGGCGUCCUCGACGAUGGCGGCGCCGGCAGCGGUGGCCAUUGGGAGGACGCACUACGAGGUGCUCGGGGUGGGCGUGGGAGCCAGCAGGGGGGAGAUCAAGGCGGCGUACCGGCGUCUGGCCAGGGAGGUGCAUCCGGACGCUGCUG
rnacentral:lncRNA from 1 species